rnacentral:tRNA from 1 species
GCCGCUUUAGUUAAAUGGUAUAACAGGCCUCUCGUAAGGGCCCAUUGGCAGUUCGAUUCUACCAAGCGGCACCA